UUGGGAAAUGAUUGGAUCAGCAAGUUUUGGCAGCUCCACUCCCCCCUGGGAGGGGCAGCGAGCUCAAUAAAGAGGCCCUCUGCUGCACCGCCACCAUUCUGCUACUCAAAUCCCGAUAGACUGUGGAGAACCUGAUUCUAAGACUCCAGAAAGAUGUCUCAGCAGCAGCAGCAGUGCAAGCAGCCCUGCCAGCCACCUCCAGUAGUGUGCCCUCCCAAGUGCCCUGAGCCCUGCCCACCUCCAAAGUGCCCUGAGCCCUGCCCACCUCCAAAGUGCCAGCAAAAAUGCCCUCCUGUGCCACCUCCACAGAAAUGCCAAGAGAAGUGCCCACCCAAGUGCAAAUAAAAGCUUCAGCUUUUAUUUGGAUCAGGAAAGGAUGAGGACAGUAGACUCACCCAGCUCCACAGCUCCACCUUCAUCUUCUCUUCAAAUCCUAUCAUGAAUACAGAAGAAGCUUCUCCAUCCUUCAGCCUGCAGUAUGCCUGUGGUGAUUUCUGACAGUCAGAGGUUUCCUUCCGGAGGCUGCUACACCACUUCCCUCUGGGAGGACAGCUGAGAAAGCAUCACAGCUCUUCAGAGGAAAAGAGCACCAGCUCUCCUCCUGGGUGUCAUCAGGGAAUUCACUCACUGUCUUCUGUGUCUCUCUGUCACCUGGGCAGGGGUUUCUACCAGCUGGGCAAUUGUUACUUAUCUUCCACUCCUGAAUAAACUACAGUUCCUUUGUGUGAUGUUAAAAAA